GCUGAUUUUUGUGAUUAAAAAAUAUUUAAGUGGAGCAACUGGUUACUGUUAAUGCUAGUUAUUAUUUCCUUAUUGCUUUAGUAACAUCAGAUGUUCAAAGCAGACUGCAAACUGCAAGACAUCAUUACUUUGGAGGAGGAGUAAUGUUCCAAACGUCUGUUAGCCAGAUUUAUCUCACUGAUUAUAAACACAUAGACACAUAUGCGCACACACAGUUGGGUGUAUCUGAAGUGCUAUUCCGCAUCUCUGUUUAGUGAGAAGACCAUCCAGCUCUGGCCUUCACUCAAUAAAAGUGCGCUUUGUUUAAGGAACAUCUCACAGCAGUCUCACAGCACCUGGGUGGUGCGAGAGGACGUGAGUUCGAUGUGUGGAGUUUGCACGUUCUCCCCAUGUCUGCGUGGGUUUCCUCCCGCAGUCCAAAG
rnacentral:lncRNA from 1 species